rnacentral:rRNA from 2 species
GGGUGCGAUCAUACCAGCACUAAUGCACCGGAUCCCAUCAGAACUCCGUAGUUAAGCGUGCUUGGGCGAGAGUAGUACUAGGAUGGGUGACCUCCUGGGAAGUCCUCGUGUUGCACACC